rnacentral:rRNA from 1 species
AUUGAACGCUGGCGGCAGGCCUAACACAUGCAAGUCGAACGAGUGGCGGACGGGUGAGUAAUAUAUCGGAACGUGCCCAGUAGCGGGGGAUAACUACUCGAAAGAGUGGCUAAUACCGCAUACUAUGGGAGCGGCCGAUAUCGGAUUAGCUAGUUGGUGGGGUAAAGGCUCACCAAGGCCACGAUCCCUAUCUGGUCUGAGAGGAUGAUCAGCCACACUGGGACUGAGACAGGGCCCAGACUCCUACGGUAGGCAGCAGUGGGGAAUAUUGCACAAUGGGCGCAAGCCUGAUGCAGCCAUGCCGCGUGUAUGAAGAAGGCGCUAGGGUUGUAAAGUACUUUCAGUCGGGAGGCGUUACCGACAGAAGAAGCACCGGCUAACUCCGUGCCAGCAGCCGCGGUAAUAC